GCCUUAUCCAGAGCAGCGGACAGGGCAACUGCCCGACGGGAACGGCCCGAUGAAGCUGCGGCAACCUGCCAAAGGCAAGGUGCCAAUUCCGGCCCGGCCUCUGCGCCGGGAAAGAUAAGGG
rnacentral:ncRNA from 18 species